ACUGCUCAGUAACACGUGGACAACCUACCCUUCGGACGGGGAUAACCCCGGGAAACUGGGUGUAAUACCCGAUAGAUCUGAGAAGCUGGAAUGCACUCAGAUUGAAAGCUCCGGUGCCGAAGGAUGGGUCUGCGGCCUAUCAGGUAGUAGUGGGUGUAGCGUACCUACUAGCCUACGACGGGUACGGGUUGUGAGAGCAAGAGCCCGGAGAUGGAUUCUGAGACACGAAUCCAGGCCCUACGGGGUGCAGCAGGCGCGAAAACUUUACAAUGCCGGCAACGGCGAUAAGGGGACCUCGAGUGCCAGGUUACAAAUCUGGCUGUCGUAAUGCCUAAAAAGCAUUUCAUAGCAAGGGCCGGGCAAGACCGGUGCCAGCCGCCGCGGUAACACCGGCGGCUCGAGUGGUAACCGUUAUUAUUGGGUCUAAAGGGUCUGUAGCCGGCCGGAUAAGUCUCUUGAGAAAUCCAGCAGCUCAACUGUUGGGCUUUCAGGGGAUACUGUCUGGCUCGAGGCCGGGAGAGGUGAGAGGUACUUCAGGGGUAGGGGUGAAAUCUUGUAAUCCUUGAAGGACCACCAGUGGCGAAGGCGUCUCACCAGAACGGACCUGACGGCAAGGGACGAAAGCUAGGGGCACGAACCGGAUUAGAUACCCGGGUAGUCCUAGCCGUAAACGAUACUCGCUAGGUGUCGGCCACGGUGCGACCGUGGUCGGUGCCGUAGGGAAGCCGUGAAGCGAGCCACCUGGGAAGUACGGCCGCAAGGCUGAAACUUAAAGGAAUUGGCGGGGGAGCACCACAACGGGUGGAGCUUGCGGUUUAAUUGGAUUCAACGCCGGAAAUCUUACCGGGACCGACAGCAAUAUGAAGGCCAGCUGAAGACUUUGCCGGAUUAGCUGAGAGGUGGUGCAUGGCCGUCGUCAGUUCGUACUGUGAAGCAUCCUGUUAAGUCAGGCAACGAGCGAGACCCGUACC
rnacentral:rRNA from 1 species